AUACACAAGAUUUUGGUAGAAAGAAUUAAGAGAACUUGAAAAUCUUAUCAGGUGCAUCUGACGUUGUAGAUUAUUUUCUAGGAGCACAAAAGCAUACAGGACAAUGAGUCUUCUUUUUAGCACUUAUGGAAGCGGUACUAUUAAGGUCAAAAAUAUAUGGAGUCAUUGGGUUGACCAUAUCAUGAAGAAACAUUCAAAGCUGGUCAUCACAGGGGCAGCUUUAAUACGUCACAAUGGAGAAACAGCAGCAGUGUCGAAAGGUUUUACUGUCUCCGAUGAAGACUUAAUUAAUGUCAAGAAAUGUUUAGCUAAUGACAGGGCUGAUACUUUACGGAUAAAAGGUGUGACGUAUUGCAUUAAAUCACGUGACUCGGGACAAUUUGUUUCGUUUAAUGGACAAACAUACAUUAUUGUUUGCAGAACAAACUGUUUAUAUAUAGUUGCCAUGUGUAAAUCAAGACAAACAAGUGGAAAAGCAGCCGAGUGGAUUAAAAAGAUUGCGGAAAUGAUAAAAGCUAAAAAAUGCUAGUAUUAGUUUUCUUUCGAUUACUAGCAUAUUUAGCAAUGAUCUGAGUAAUUUAUUUGCAUCUGAAGAACGGUAGAAAAAUAUUUUGCAUAAUAUAGAUAUUGAACUCACCAGCUUCCUAAGGCGUAUAGUUGUCACAGAUAAUUGUUACGAAUGGCGGCAAGUAAUCCACUGCUCUUAUUCAUGGUUGAAAAGUCAGCAAAAUAUAUCUCAUAUGAAACAGCAUGACGAAAGAUAGGAAAAUAUUGAAGUUGUUCAGCUUGACGAGGAAUUCCUUCUGGAAACAGUCAAGCCAAUGAUAUGGCCGAAUGUGAUAUAAUUAUAAACACAGUUGACAAUAUAUCGUCAGAAUCUCGCGUACACAUA